AUGGCGUGCGCGGCCCCACCCAGCCCCCUCCCCGUGGUCUCCCUGCCCGCGCGCCGCCGCGGUGCGACUGCCGCCGCGGCCGCCUCCUACCACGCCCCCUCUACCCGGCUGUCGAGGCGUUCGUGGCUCUCCACUGGAAACUCGCCCCGCUCUCGGCUGCGGACCCAGGCCUCCAAGGCCGAGCCGGCCGAGGAGAGCCUUCCCGCCGCGCCGGGCCCGUCGGAGCCCCUGCCCCAGCCACGUACCAGUACAUGGAAUUGGAAGGGCUACAACAUUCGUUAUCAGUGCGCCGGAACGUCUGGCCCUGCACUGGUUCUAAUUCAUGGUUUCGGGGCAAACAGUGACCAUUGGCGGAAAAAUAUUCCUGCUCUUGCCAUGGCAAAUAGAGUUUAUGCAAUUGAUCUAAUUGGCUAUGGGUAUUCUGAUAAACCUAAUCCACGUGAGUUCGAAGAGAGCUUUUAUACUUUUGAGACUUGGGGAGAACAGUUGAAUACAUUUUGUGCUGAAGUUGUCAAGAGUGAUGCUUUCUUCAUAUGCAAUUCAAUUGGAGGGCUUGUUGGUCUGCAGGCAGCUGUUAUGAAACCCCAAACAUGCAAAGGUAUUGUUUUAUUGGAUAUUUCAUUAAGGAUGCUUCAUAUCAAUAAGCAGCCAUGGUUUGGAAGGCCUUUCAUCAGAUCAUUUCAAAAUCUCCUAAGGAACACUGUUAUUGGGAAGCUCUUCUUUAAUGCUGUUGCAACACCAGAAUCCGUGAAAAAUAUUCUUUGUCAGUGUUACCAUGACACGUCCGCUGUCACAGAUGAAUUGGUUCAGAUGAUCUUGCAGCCAGGGCUUGAUCCCGGUGCUGUGGAUGUAUUCCUUGAGUUCAUCUGCUAUUCUGGAGGUCCUCUACCUGAAGACUUACUACCCUUGGUGAAGUGUCCAGUUUUGGUAGCUUGGGGAGAGAAGGAUCCAUGGGAGCCUGUGGAACUUGGAAGAGCCUACGGGUCUUUUGAUGCUGUUGAAGAUUUUGUUGUCCUCCCGAACGUUGGACACUGCCCUCAGGAUGAAGCACCUGAGCUUGUAAAUCCACUUGUUGAAUCAUUUGUUAAGCUCCAUAGUUAG
rnacentral:rRNA from 1 species